GGACCUACCCUGGGCUUUCUAGUCUCAGCUCUCCUCCAGCUCAACUGGUCAGGAGAGCUGAGACUAGAAAGCCCAGGGCAGGUUC
ensembl:miRNA